GGCAUCCUUCCUCCUUCACACUGAAAUGCUGGCCAAUUUCCCAGAUUUCCACUGACUUCACAUCGAUUUGUUGUGUCAGUAACUGUUCCUUGAUGUUAGUAAUCCCGACACUUAGUGUAGCGCAUGCUCUGAAACUGACCCUCAAAAAAUUCCUGGGUUAAAUGAAGAAUGAAUGAAUCAGGUUAAAAAUAUCAAUCCAUCUACCUUACAGACU
rnacentral:lncRNA from 1 species